rnacentral:rRNA from 1 species
UAGGGAAUAUUGGACAAUGGGGGGAACCCUGAUCCAGCCAUGCCGCGUGGAGGAAGACUGCCCUCUGGGUUGUAAACUCCUUUUAUAUGGGAAGAACCGUCCUCAUUGAUGAGUGACCUGACGGUACCAUAGGAAUAAGCACCGGCUAACUACGUGCCAGCAGCCGCGGUAAUACGUAGGGUGCAAGCGUCAAUCGGAAUUACUGGGCGUAAAGCGUGCGCAGGCGGUUUUGUAAGACGGAUGUGAAAUCCCCGGGCUUAACCUGGGAACUGCAUUCGUGACUGCAAGGCCAGAGUAUGGCAGAGGGGGGUAGAAUUCCACGUGUAGCAGUGAAAUGCGUAGAGAUGUGGAGGAAUACCGAUGGCGAAGGCAGCCCCCUGGGCCAAUACUGACGCUCAUGCACGAAAGCGUGGGGAGCAAACA